CAGCAUCUUUCCAAGAGCUAAGGCUGGCUAUAGCCAUAGGAUCUCCAACUGCGUGGGAGAGCAACCUGAAGACACUUUGACAGCUCAGGUCAGCAUAAUACCUGCAGCUGCCACUCGCCUUUCCUAUAAUA